rnacentral:rRNA from 1 species
GUGGGGAAUAUUGGGCAAUGGGGGAAACCCUGACCCAGCAACGCCGCGUGAAGGAAGAAGGUUUUCGGAUCGUAAACUUCUAUCCUUGGUGAAGAUAAUGACGGUAGCCAAGAAGGAAGCCCCGGCUAACUACGUGCCAGCAGCCGCGGUAAUACGUAGGGGGCAAGCGUUGUCCGGAAUGAUUGGGCGUAAAGGGCGCGUAGGCGGCCUGGUAAGUAUGGAGUGAAAGUCCUGCUUUUAAGGUGGUAAUUGCUUUGGAUACUGUCGGGCUUGAGUGCAGGAGAGGUAAGCGGAAUUCCCGGUGUAGCGGUGAAAUGCGUAGAGAUCGGGAGGAACACCAGUGGCGAAGGCGGCUUACUGGACUGUAACUGACGCUGAGGCGCGAAAGUGUGGGGAGCAAACAGGAUUAGAUACCCCUGUAGUCC